rnacentral:rRNA from 1 species
GUCUACGGCCAUACCUCGUUGAAAGCACCAGUUCUCGUCCGAUCACUGAAGUUAAGCAACGUCGGGCUCGGUUAGUACUUGGAUGGGUGACCGCCUGGGAACACCGAGUGUUGUAGACG